rnacentral:rRNA from 1 species
GGGUUGUGAGGUUAAGCGACUAAGCGUACACGGUGGAUGCCCUGGCAGUCAGAGGCGAUGAAGGACGUGCUAAUCUGCGAUAAGCGCCGGUAAGGUGAUAUGAACCGUUAUAACCGGCGAUUUCCGAAUGGGGAAACCCAGUGUGAUUCGUCACACUAUCAUUAACUGAAUCCAUAGGUUAAUGAGGCGAACCGGGGGAACUGAAACAUCUAAGUACCCCGAGGAAAAGAAAUCAACCGAGAUUCCCCCAGUAGCGGCGAGCGAACGGGGAGGAGCCCAGAGCCUGAAUCAGCAUGUGUGUUAGUGGAAGCGUCUGGAAAGGUGCGCGAUACAGGGUGAC